rnacentral:rRNA from 1 species
AGCGCAGGCGGGAAGACAAGUUGGAAGUGAAAUCUAUGGGCUCAACCCAUAAACUGCUUUCAAAACUGUUUUUCUUGAGUAGUGCAGAGGUAGGCGGAAUUCCCGGUGUAGCGGUGGAAUGCGUAGAUAUCGGGAGGAACACCAGUGGCGAAGGCGGCCUACUGGGCACCAACUGACGCUGAGGCUCGAAAGCAUGGGUAAGCAAACAG